GGUCUUUAUAUCAAUAUUUUAUAUAAAUAGGUAAAGCGUGUAGUUCAAAAUGUAACAUAAGUUUUCUUUUUGAUCAUCGAACAACAGGACGGGUUUAAACGAACAAAUAUGAAAUUCAUCUGGUUGAUAACAGUAAUAGUGGCGGUGUUCUUCUGGCCUCUCGCGACUGCUGAAAAGGACUGUUACAAAAAUUGUUCUCUGGUCCUCAAACCCGUUUGUGCCACCAAUGGCAACACGUAUAGCAGUCUAUGAUUCUUGAAAUGCGACGGCGCAACAUUUGCUCAUAAUGGAAACUGCUAGUGCAGUGCUAUGAGUUUGUCGAUUAAAAGAAUUACUUAAAUUGCAAUUGUAUUAUUUUAACAUAGUAUUAUAAAGGCCGGCAACGCUCUUGUGAUUCCUCUGGUUUUGCAAGAGAAUGUGGGCGGCGGUGAUCACUUAACACCAGGUGACCCGUACGCUC